ACAGAGAACAAGAAAAUUCAUCACAUAGACAGAAGCAGCAAAUCACCAAUGCAGAUAACAACAGAAUGACUGUGAGGUUUAUAGAAACAUUUGGUUGAAAGCUGCAUGUUGAGGUUUAGUGUUGGCACAUCAGCAGUGUAGAAACCUAAAGAACAAAGUCCUUGUUUUAGUUUGUACAGACAGUGCUCAUGAAUGUGGUGACUUCUACUUGCGUCAUCAUGAUGUUGACAUUUGUGCUUUAGAGUGAAAUGUCCUGACGACGACUGAAUGGAUUGUUUCUACAGACAUUCUUGUCCCCCUCUGGAUCAGCUGUAAUACCCCAGAUGAUCCUUUAACAUUUCAUCUGUGGUCGUAAACUCAUUCAAAUCCAGGAUGAUCCACCAUAGCCAACUCAACUUUCUACCAAAGCUAAACAGGUGUGGUGCAGUUCGCAGUUCAGAACCACAGAGUGCAUGUUGCAUUAAGGGAGCAAAGUCAGAAACAAGUGGAGAAGUGAACCUGAGCAAUAAUCUUGUCCGCUUCCCCCGUCCAUCGCCUUGAAGAAGUGCUGAAGUGUGACAGACAUUUUUCUUCACUGUCCUCGCAGCAUGUGGCAGGAGUUGCAGGAGGUGAUUCUGUCAAAGGUGUGCAUACGAAACUCAUGGAAGUUGUUGCUGGCAUUCUCAGGACGAAUGUUGGAUCUAAACAAGACGACAAACAUGAGAUCAUUUCACCAUCCAAACAAAUAAACAUGGAAGUACUGCAGAGAAAAAACACCACAGAACCAAACUGUUGGGAAUAUUUUAGUGUUUGAAGAGCAAACUGUGCACACAUUACCUCUGAACAUUUUCCAAAACAAAGAGAAACUUUUUGGAAUGACUUUCUACCUCUAAAGAUCCUAAAAAUCAACAAUCAGCAACCCAAAACUUGGUAGUCCAUCACCCUAAACCACUUUUAAGUUACACUGUCAUCACAUGCUAAUGUAGUUGAAUUUCCAGAAAAUUCUCCUGUUUGUAAAUUAAAAGUGCUCUGACAUCCAGGAUGUGAGAGCACGCUGCCAAAAGGUUUAACAUCUGAAAGUCUGAAAAUCAAAUCCAAAAGAUGAAUAAUACACCAACAUUUCAACAUUUCAAAAGGAUAAUGCAAAUCUGCUUGCAUUUAAAAUGCUCUGUCAGCUAAACUUCAAAUGUCCUUGAACGCACCACAGAGUUUUCAGAAUAAUGUCUCUUCAUACCUGCAUCACCAUGUGACAGAAAUAAACAGGAGCUUGUGGUAAGAAAUGAGAAUGAAAUGAAGCUGUAAAAAAAAACAGCAUUUAAAGCUCAUGUAAGCAUUGAAGGGUCAACAGUAACAUUCAAAGUUAUAGCAAGCAGAGUUUAACACUGUUGCUGGUUGUACUAUAAGUUAAAGUGUCCAAGUUAAUGAAUAAAAAUGAAUUUGUCUUUG